CCCAAUUUUACACGCAAACCCUACUUCAUUUUCCCAUCCUUCUCUCUCCAUCUUUUCUCUUUACCCCUAUUUCUAGACAUCCCAUCUUCUCGAUUUCGGGUUGCUGAUCCCCUCUUGCAGCAACACUAUAUUACGAGCAUGCAGCGGCGUUGUAGUUGGACUGCUGUCUACUAUGAAUUUGAGGAGGUCGUGGUGGUAAUUGUUCACUAGGCGAUGGUAGUAAUGAAGCGGCGGCCGCGGCGGCAUUGAGUUUGGAGAUUUUUUAGCGAUUGCGAUGUGAUGGAGAUGAUAGUUGUGAUUUUUGGUACAGGAGGAGGUAGUGAUGUUGGCCGUAAUGUUGAUGGUAAGAUGGUGGUGGUAGUGUGAUUGCGGUAAUGGUAUUGAUGGUGGCGAUGAUGUUGAGGUGGAUUUGUUUUGUUGAUUUUUUUUGGGGUGAUGGUGACGACAAUUUUGUUGGAUCUUGUUGGUGGCAGUGGUUUUUUAUGGGUAGUUUGUUGGUGGUUGUUUAUGGGUUAUAAUGGCAGUGAUUGUUCAAGUAGUGGUGGUUUAGUUGGUGAUGGAACAGAUGGUGGUGAUGGCAUUGUGGAUUUGAUUUGUUGGUUUUUUUUUCGUGAUUUUGUUGGAUCUUGUUGGUAGCGAUUUUGUUAGUGGUUAGUUGUGACGUAGUGGUGGUGAUUUUGAAGUUAUAAAUAGUAGUUGUUGGAGGUGGUGGCGGCGCUAGCCGUGACUGUGAAUUGGAG
rnacentral:lncRNA from 1 species